UACGAAGGGGGCUAGCGUUGCUCGGAAUCACUGGGCGUAAAGGGUGCGUAGGCGGGUCUUUAAGUCAGGGGUGAAAUCCUGGAGCUCAACUCCAGAACUGCCUUUGAUACUGAAGAUCUUGAGUUCGGGAGAGGUGAGUGGAACUGCGAGUGUAGAGGUGAAAUUCGUAGAUAUUCGCAAGAACACCAGUGGCGAAGGCGGCUCACUGGCCCGGUACUGACGCUGAGGUGCGAAAGCCAGGGGAGCAAACGGG
rnacentral:rRNA from 1 species